rnacentral:rRNA from 1 species
UUAUUUGAAAUAGGAUACAACCUAUAACACUGGGUAAAUAAGAGUAAUUUAAACAAAGUGGGCCUAAGAGCAGCCAUCUUUAAAAAAGCGUCACAGCUUAACUUCCCUAAUACUUCCAAUUAGUACACCUCCCCUCAACCCUUCACCAGUACUGAACUUUUUUAUAUCAUUAUAAAAAUUAUUAUGCUAGAACUAGUAACAAGAAAUUGCCCUUCUCCUAAAUGUAAACAUAAGUCAUAACGGACCCCCCCAUUGACACUUAACGUAAAUGUAAACAUAUAUAGUAACACUCAUCAAGAAAACCCUAUAAUUUUAAACGUUAACCUUACACUAGAACAUUACAGGAAAGAUUAAAAGAGAGAGAAGGAACUCGGCAAAUUUUAGCCCCGCCUGUUUACCAAAAACAUCGCCUCUUGAUUUCUAUAAGAGGUCCAGCCUGCCCAGUGACAAAGUUUAACGGCCGCGGUACCCUAACCGUGCAAAGGUAGCAUAAUCACUUGUUCUCUAAAUAAGGACUAGUAUCAACGGCAUCACGAGGGCUAUACUGUCU